CCAGGACAAGAGGUGAGGAGCCUCUAACUGCGUGGUCCCGCCCGCGGGUCAACUGGCGGUCAGAUCCUCUUGACGACCUUCUCCAGCGAUACCUCCGUCGUCAUUCUCUCAGGAAAAUGAAACAUGAAGUGCCAACAUUUUGCUUUACAAAGCUUUU
rnacentral:lncRNA from 1 species